CACACUGUGGCUCACAACCAUCUGU
rnacentral:piRNA from 1 species